GUAUUGUAUUGCGUUAAACGCGGCAACAUUCCAUGAGACUUUGUUACGGUGUGUGUGUGUGUAAAUACAUAGAACCACGGCGAGGGGAUGGAACCCCCCGACCACAGAACUACAGAGGGUGCACAGGUGUGAGUGGAUGUGUAAACAGAGCGUGCACAUGCCCCGUUUGGGGACCAGCAACAACUCAUGUCAACGGUUCAGUAAUGAUCCUUCCGCAGGUUCACCUACGGAAA
rnacentral:misc_RNA from 1 species